rfam:Dictyostelium discoideum AX4 chrTn_00012 genomic scaffold, whole genome shotgun sequence.
GCCUUAGUAGCUCAGUUGGUACGAGCGUGAGACUGAAGAUCUUAAGGUCGCUGGUUCGAUCCCGGCCUGAGGCA